GAAAUGCGAUAAGUAGUGUGAAUUGCAGAAUUCAGUGAAUCAUCGAAUCUUUGAACGCACAUUGCGCCCCUUGGUAUUCCAUGGGGCAUGCCUGUUCGAGCGUCAUUUGUACCUUCAAGCUCUGCUUGGUGUUGGGUGUUUGUCUCGCCUCUGCGCGCAGACUCGCCUCAAAACAAUUGGCAGCCGGCGUAUUGAUUUCGGAGCGCAGUACAUCUCGCGCUUUGCACUCAGAACGACGACGUCCAAAAGUACAUUUUUUACACUCUUGACCUCGGAUCAGGUAGGGACACCCGCUGAACUUAAGC
rnacentral:misc_RNA from 1 species